rnacentral:rRNA from 1 species
UGGGGAAUAUUGCACAAUGGGCGCAAGCCUGAUGCAGCCAUGCCGCGUGUAUGAAGAAGGCCUUCGGGUUGUAAAGUACUUUCAGCGGGGAGGAAGGUGUUGAGGUUAAUAACCUCAGCAAUUGACGUUACCCGCAGAAGAAGCACCGGCUAACUCCGUGCCAGCAGCCGCGGUAAUACGGAGGGUGCAAGCGUUAAUCAGAAUUACUGGGCGUAAAGCGCACGCAGGCGGUCUGUCAAGUCGGAUGUGAAAUCCCCGGGCUCAACCUGGGAACUGCAUUCGAAACUGGCAGGCUAGAGUCUUGUAGAGGGGGGUAGAAUUCCAGGUGUAGCGGUGAAAUGCGUAGAGAUCUGGAGGAAUACCGGUGGCGAAGGCGGCCCCCUGGACAAAGACUGACGCUCAGGUGCGAAAGCGUGGGGAGCAAACA